UACAGAGGUCCCAAGCGUUGUUCGGAUUCACUGGGCGUAAAGGGUGCGUAGGUGGUUAUGUAAGUUUGAUGUGAAAUCUCCGGGCUUAACCCGGAAAUUGCAUUGAAUACUACAUGGCUUGAGGUUUGGAGGGGGGACUGGAAUUCUUGGUGUAGCAGUGAAAUGCGUAGAUAUCAAGAGGAACACCAGUGGCGAAGGCGAGUCCCUGGACAAAUCCUGACACUGAGGCACGAAAGCUAGGGGAUCAAACGGG
rnacentral:rRNA from 1 species